UACGUAGGUGGCAAGCGUUGUUCGGAAUUAUUGGGCGUAAAGGGCGCGUAGGCGGUUGGUUAAGUCAGCUGUGAAAGCCCGGGGCUCAACCCCGGAGGGUCGGCUGAUACUGAUUGACUAGAGUACGGAAGAGGUAGCUGGAAUUCCCGGUGUAGCGGUGAAAUGCGUAGAUAUCGUAAGGAAGACCAGUGGCGAAGGCGGGUCUCUGGACAGUUCCUGACGCUGAGGCACGAAGGUCAGGGGAGCAAACGGG
rnacentral:rRNA from 1 species